CUGAAACUUUUGCAAGUAAGAUACAGUCAGUGAAGUUUGUAAACAAAGCAUCACUCCCAAUUGCUGGGCUGGCGAUUGUUGUUUGUACUGGUUUUAUUAUUGCAAAUCUAAGUAUGGCGUUGAUUAUUUCUGCAGCUGUGGUUGCGGUAGUUGCUGCACUUAUUGUUAAGCCCAUUGCUUCAUAUGUACAAAGAGACUUGUUACAAAAUAGUAUUGUAAGUAGAAGUCUUAACAACCCAAAAGUUGAGGAAUUUCAAAGAGAGCCUCAGCUUGCUUAGUAGAAGUGAUACUUAUGCCUUCAGAGGAGGCAUAAGUAUUCUUUAAUUGUGAUACUCAAUUUCUUUUCUCUUGUGGUACU